rnacentral:rRNA from 1 species
GCCGUUAGCAUGCAGUCGAACGGUAGAGAUGCUUCGGUAUCUUGAGAGUGGCGAACGGGUGAGUAACACGUAGAUAAUCUGCCUCUUGGUUGGGGAUAGCCCAUAGAAAUAUGGGGUAAUACUGAAUACGGUCUUUAUAUCGGAAGGAUGUAAAGAAGAAAGGAGCUACGGCUUCGCCGAGAGAUGAGUCUGCGGACCAUUAGCUAGUUGGUAGGGUAAGAGCGUACCAAGGCGAUGAUGGAUAGCCGGCCUGAGAGGGUGACCGGCCACACUGGGACUGAGACACGGCCCAGACUCCUACGGGAGGCAGCAGCUAAGAAUCUUCCGCAAUGGGGGAAACCCUGACGGAGCGACGCCGCGUGGACGAAGAAGGCCGAGAGGUUGUAAAGUUCUUUUCCUAGAGAGGAAUAAUACGAGGAGGGAAUGCCUUGUAGAUGACGCUACCUAGGGAAUAAGCCCCGGCUAAUUACGUGCCAGCAGCCGCGGUAAUACGUAAGGGGCGAGCGUUGUUCGGAAUUAUUGGGCGUAAAGGGCACGCAGGCGGCCUUGCAAGUCUGAUGUGAAAGGCUCCGGCUCACUGGAGAGACGCAUGGAAACGGUAAGGCUAGAGUAGAGAAGGGGAAGCUGGAAUUCCUGGUGUAAGGUGAAAUCUGUAAUAUCAGGAGAACACCGGAGGCAAGGCGACUUCUGCCAUCUACUGACCCUGAGUGUGCAA